GGCAUUUUCCGUGAAAUCCGGCCCAAACUAGUAACGCUCAUUUUGCGCGUUUGCAGCAAGCGCCAAAACGUCGUGUACACAUUACGACCGCCGAAAAAAUCACAGCUCCGGAGACGUCGCCAGUGACCAUGAUGGCAAGGGAUGUAGAGAAGAUGGUGGCGGUAGGCCUAGUCUGGGGCGCCACCAACGCCUUGAUGCGCCGUGGUGCGCUUCUAUGGGACCAAAGAUCCCACAAAUUGUCUUCCUCUUCACUGAACCCACCAAAGCUCCACCAAAGGCUUCUCUCUUCCGUUAAAGACUCGCUCAGUGUUCUCUUAUUUUGGCAGUACUCUGUCCCCUUCUUGCUCAAUCUCUCAGCAUCUGCUACUUUCUUCUCUCUAUUAAGCGAUUCACCGAUAUCACUGGCUGUUCCCGUUACCAACGCGACUACUUUUGCUGCUACAGCUUUGUUCGGGAUGCUUUUAGGGGAGGAGACCCGAAUUGGGUUCGCUUUGAUGGUUAGCAGGUGUAUUGGAAGCACAUUGACUGAUACUGACUGGUCCAUUCCACCUGCAAGCCCUUGCCCUAAAUGUGCGGUAUCUUGCUAUGAAAGGUGCACUAUUCCAAUCAAUCUUAACCAGCCCACCUCUAGUUGCCCAGUUAUCAGCAUUCCAUAGGCUGGAGUAUGCCCUCAUACCUUGUUUGUUUGGAUAAGCAAUGCCCUCACUCUCGUAAUUACGGAACACACGGAUUGGCACACUGUCAACAUACCACCUGAAAUUGCAGUAAUGAAUCCUGAGGGCCCUGUAUGUUGGUGAAAUCACUGCACUUACAUAGUAGGCAGUGACGGUUCCAGCUGAGUUCCCAGGUACCAACUUGAUUAACAUCUGAAUGCUUCCAAACAGGAAUAACCGCUUUGAUUGAAUACCUGACCCUGAAACCCAAAGUAAUUGUCUAUGUAAAGCUAAUAACUGGUCUUAUGAUUAUUUACUUUGUUCAAAAUAACAAAGAACUUGAAGUUCUGAAACAUACAAUCUGAUAAAUUGAUGAAUACUGAUCAGAUUAAUACCUGAUGUUUGAUCCAAUACAAGUUGAAGCUCAUCUCCGUUGCCCAGAACUGCAGAAUGCUGAGCUCCCCAGUAGAAAUGCAUGCUUUUGAUGAAGUUGGCACCAACUGGCCUAAGAUCAAAUGCUGUUAGAAAGACGAAUAGAACUACCAACAAAGUUCUUGAACUCCCCAUUUGAGAAAUUUUCAUCUUUGCUUCUAUGGUUCUACCAAAACUCUGGAGUUGAAAUGCAAUACUGGGUCCACAAAGUCCUGUGAUUGCUUGAUAUAUACAGCUUGCAGCCAGCAAAUAAGCCUUGCUAAGGUGAGCUCUGGUUCAAAAAAAAUUAGUUUAAAAAAUAUUUGACCAUUUCAAGAUAUUUGACAUUCAUAUUGGAAAAUAUAUUAUAAGAACAAAAGUUAUGCUCUCCAUGAAGAUGAUGUCCACAAAUUAACAAGUGUGGAAAGUACAAUAGGUUGAAGAGUUCGUGAAGUGAAUAUAUAUAUAUAUAUAUUACUUUAUAUAUAUGAUAUUUAAUAUAAUGUUAAUUCAAUGAUCUCCCAAUACGGAUUAUUUUUAGAUAGUUGGGAGCCAGAAAUCAAUCUCCUAGGAAAAAUGUCUUAAUAGUCUUACUCGUCAGACUGAAUCUCUAUGACAGCAUUGUUAGGUUGCAUUGCUGUUGAUCAUGUAACAACUAAUACUGUUUUAGUUACUUAAAAAAAUAACAUUAUUGGUACUUCGGUUUCCUUUUGAAUUCUGCUGAUUCAUUUCUUUGAUAAAAGGGGAAGCAGAAACAUCAUCUUGAAAGGCUGGUGUGAUGAGUUGGAG
rnacentral:misc_RNA from 1 species